rnacentral:rRNA from 1 species
AUGGGACCCACAGGUCAGUCUCGCACCCUCUUGCUUCUGCUCCUCGCCGCCGCCGCCGCCGCCGCGCCAGAGCACGAAUCCUUGCUCCGCCUCCCCUCCUCGGCACGCUCCCUCGCCCCGAAGACCCCCCGCUCCGCCGGCACCGACCUCAUCCGCGCCCUCAACCUCCACCCCCGCGACACCUUCCUCCGCCGCCCCGGCGGCGUCGGCGUCGGCGACAGCGAUGCUCUCCCGGCCGGAACCCUCAUCGAGAGGCCGAUCCGACUCGCGUCUCUGGUGGCCGGAGACGACGACGGCGGCGGCACAUCGGUGAGCAACCUCGGGCACCACGCCGGGUACUACCGCCUCCCCACCACUCACGACGCCAGGCUCUUCUACUUCUUCUUCGAAUCCAGGCAGCACAAGAAGGAGGACCCCGUGGUGAUCUGGCUGACGGGAGGGCCCGGCUGCAGCAGCGAGCUAGCCCUUGCUGUUAAUUUUUCAGGGUUUUGCAAUUGGUAA